rnacentral:rRNA from 1 species
AAGCUCGUAGUUGAAUUUCGGAAUUUGUCGGUUGGUCGGGCUUCACUGUCCGCUCUGGCCUGAUGAAUUCCUACCUUCUGAAUAACCAGCAUGCUAUUAAUUUAGUGCGUUGGGGAAGCAGAGCUAUUACCUUGAAAAAAAUUAGAGUGCUUAAAGCAGGCUCACGCUUGAAUAGAUUAGCAUGGAAUAAUAAAAUAGGACGGCUUGGUUCUAUUUUGUUGGUUUCUAGGAUCACCGUAUGAUUAAUAGGGAUAGUUGGG